AAUCUGAACAAGCUGUGCAUUAUGCAUGAAGCCGGGUUAUCCAAGCAGGAUAACAGCGGAGAUAUCCGUGAGACAG
rnacentral:ncRNA from 1 species